UACGAAGGGGACUAGCGUUGUUCGGAAUUACUGGGCGUAAAGCGCACGUAGGCGGCUUUGUAAGUCAGGGGUGAAAUCCCGGGGCUCAACCUCGGAACUGCCUUUGAUACUGCAAAUCUCGAGUCCGAUAGAGGUGGGUGGAAUUCCUAGUGUAGAGGUGAAAUUCGUAGAUAUUCGGAAGAACACCAGUGGCGAAGGCGGCUCACUGGCCCGGUACUGACGCUGAGGUGCGAAAGCGUGGGGAGCAAACAGG
rnacentral:rRNA from 1 species